CGUGCGCCGUCGCCGAAUCCCGCACGCACAGCAGCAGCACAGCGACAAGCAACACCAAGGGAACCGGGGAACCACCAACCUUGGGGUGAAUCGGGUCGAACUUGACCCGUAGGAGACCUUCCUGCUCCGAACCCGUCAGCUAACCCGGUAGGCGAGAGGGAAGGAAAGG
rnacentral:sRNA from 2 species